rnacentral:rRNA from 1 species
GAUCCUGGCUCAGGACGAACGCUGGCGGCGUGCCUAACACAUGCAAGUCGAGCGGGGGAUAUUGAGCAGCUUGCUGCUUGGUAUUUCUAGCGGCGGACGGGUGAGUAACGCGUGAGUAACCUGCCUUUAUCAGGGGGAUAACGCAUCGAAAGAUGUGCUAAUACCGCGUAAGACCACAGCUUCACAUGGAGCAGGGGUCAAAGGAGCAAUCCGGAUAAAGAUGGGCUCGCGUCCG